CUGACGGGAAGUGUAGUCCGGGGAGGCUCGCCUCCCCUCACCUCCGGCAACACCUCGCGCGGCCUGACGGGAAGUGUAGUCCGUAGCCGUUCACCGGGUCGCCGCGCGCCCCCUUCCGGUCGCCCCGCGAGCCACCUCUGUGAGGGUCCGAGAGGCCGGUGGUUUGCGCGUGCGCAGAUCUGCCCUCCGCGGACGGGAUAUUGGAGCGGUGGGAACGCGCCGCGGCUGCGCGCGGGGCGGGGUCGGAGGGCGGGGAAGUGGGAGGAACGCGGGCCGCGCGGGCGGGGAACCGGGACGGGAGCGAGCGGGGAAACACGAAGCGAGCGCGCGGGGGAAACGCCCGCCUCCGCGGCGGCGGAGAAACUCCAGUCAAGUCCCGCCCCCAGAGGGCCGGCCUUUUACCUCAGACGCGCGCCGGCGCGUCGGUGCUCGCGUCGCCGGUGCCCGCGUCGCCGUGCCUGGUGAACCCCGGGGGAGGCUGGUUCUCGUGGCGGCGGCCCGCCUCCGGGGUCUGCGAGCGCCGGCCCGACGCACGCGGGCCCGCAGCUGGGGGUUAGAGAAGGAAAGUGACCUGGGGAGGAAGAAGCAGGAGAGAAAAGGGACUUUAGAAAAGGACGGACUUUCGUAAGAGUUCACGAAACUGGAGUUUUAUUGAAUCUGCACAAGAACAUCUUGAAACGUAACCAGGCGCAAACAACUCAGGGUUUCAUGAGCCUCUUCGUAUGAGACGAUUUAACAGAAAGAGGAACAAACGGCUCGCAAAGAACUGGAACAGGAUGAAGACGGUGUAAACAAAGAGCCAAGGAAGCAGUUUUCGGUUGACGUCGGAUGUGAGGUGUGUGUCCCGAGCUCCUGGCAAUUGUUAAGAGGACGAAACCCGACGUUUUUAUGGUGGCUUUUCCACGUUAGCUGGCCCUGGCGGGUCACUUUGGGCCGUGUAACCAACUGGGUUCUCUGUCCUCCGGCCCCAGGAUCGGAAUGGGGAUGAUGGAUUCCGUGCAUGACUCAAAUCUCAGAUCGGCCCUUUGUUCAGUGGCCACAAGUAAAGACAGCCUGGCCGUAGGUCCUGGGUGCUGCCGUCCAGUGAGCCUCCUAGUCAUCGAACCUUCAGGCAUUAACUUGCUCCCUCCCAUUCAAACCUGAGGUAUGUGGGACAAUUUGAGUCCAGUUAAUCUCACCGUGACACACAUCCCUGACAUCUUCAGUCACCAUCCUACACGUCAGCCCCGUGGCCCUCUGUUCUCCUUCCUGCUUUGGGAGUCGUCUCCCGUGACCCAGCCUCAGGCUCCUGUCUUUUCCCCACUUUGCCUGUUUUCCCCCAGAAUCUGUGUCAAACUUUCUAUUAAGUUUAUUCUAAUAAAUUGUAUACAUUUUCUUUUCUUGCUGUUGUAAUAAGACCUUUGAAUUGUUCUGUUUUCUUAUUGAUCUUUUUGGUAUAAAAGGUGCAUCGACUUUUAUUAAUUUAUUUCAUAUUUGGCCUUUUUGGAGGCAACUCUUUUAUUAGUUUUAAGUGAUCUUUUUUUUUAAAUUGAAGUAUAGUUGAUUUACAAUGCUGUGUUCAGUUUCUGUUAUACAGCAUAGUGAUUCAAUUAUAUAUAUAUGUAUUCUUUUUCAUUGUAGGUUAUUACAAGAUAUUGAAUAUAGUUCCCUGUGCUGUACAGUAGGACCUUGUUGUUUAUCUAUUUUAUAUGUAGUAUGUACUUGUUAAUCCCAAACUCCUAAUUUAUCCCUCCUUCUGCCCCUUUCCCCUUUGGUAACCAUAAGUUUGUUUUCUAUGUUUGUGAGUCUGUUUCUGUUUUAUAAAUAAAUUUAUUUGUGUCAGUUUUAA